AUCAAAAGCAAAAGCUGCGUCAGCCUCUGUUUCUCCCACAUGAUUUAUCUAACCAGUUUCCUGCUGGUGGAUGUUCAGUGCUGUGACUUUUCUGUCUCCUCUUUGUUGUUGUGUGACUCUAGGUCUUUCCCCAGAGCCCAUAUUAAAAAGCUCACCUGUACUUGGGAGACAGAAGCAAGUGGAUCACUUGUGAAAUCUAAAUAAUGAGACCCUGUCUUUAAAAAGAGGUGAACAGUUCCCCGAGGAAUGAAUGACACCUGACGUUGGCCCCCAGCCUCCACAUACACACAGGGUUGUUACUCUGUGAUGAAACACCCUGACCGAAAGUGACUUGGAGAAGAAAGGGGUUUUGGCUUACUCUUCUACAUCACAGUUCAUCAUCAAAGGAAGUCAGGCUUGUCAGUGUUCCCAGCAGCUCCACAGAGGCUGGUCCUCUGCCUGUAGUGGGGUUCACCUGCUCGGAGCCACACCAAGCAGCAAUUGGGCAGCAUCAAAGGAAAACAACUGGAUGGCAUGGUGGUACUCUCCCAUGGCUCCCCAAG
rnacentral:lncRNA from 1 species